AGAAUCAACGCUGGCGGCGUGCCUAACACAUGCAAGUCGAACGAGAAAGUGGAGCAAUCCAUGAGUAAAGUGGCGCACGGGUGAGUAACACGUGACUAACCUACCUUUUAGUGGGGGAUAACCUAGGGAAACCUGGGCUAAUACCGCAUAAUACCUACGGGUCAAAGCAGCAAUGCGCUGGAAGAGGGGGUCGCGGCCGAUUAGCUAGUUGGCGGGGUAAUGGCCCACCAAGGCAGUGAUCGGUAUCCGGCCUGAGAGGGCGCACGGACACACUGGAACUGAAACACGGUCCAGACUCCUACGGGAGGCAGCAGUGGGGAAUUUUGCGCAAUGGGGGAAACCCUGACGCAGCAACGCCGCGUGGAGGAUGAAGACCCUUGGGUCGUAAACUCUUUCGAUCGGGACGAUAAUGACGGUACCGGAAGAAGAGCCCCGGCUAACUUCGCGCCAGCAGCCGC
rnacentral:rRNA from 1 species